ensembl:snoRNA
ACGACCGAUGAUGAGGUCUGGUGGCAUUUGAGUGAUACUCGAUGAAUGCCAAGUUCCGGAAAUCUGAGGUCAAU